UGCACCUCAGGGUGCAGGCACUGGGCCACUCCCUGCAUCUUCUCUGAUUAUCACCCUGUGCCCCUAAGCCUCAGGUCCAGUCCCAGAGUGCCCCCUGGAUGAAGCCAGGAGUCUAGGAGGAGAGGCUGCAAGAGGGACCUUGGAAGAGCUGACCCACUCGGCUGUGUUGUUCUGGAGUCCGGGCGGCACUGAGCAGCUCUCCUAACCAAGUGCAGCUCAGCGGGACCCACCGCUGCCGAGAGUUGGGCCUGUGCUGAGGAAGAAGCAUGAGCUGCAGUCGCGGCCACCACCGGGAAGGUCUUUGAGCCUCGCGGCCAGCGAGGAGUUCUGUCCUGAGUCCCCAGCCUCGUGGGACCCUGGCUGCAGGUUGCUCCUGCAUGAAGGCUGAGGAGACUUCCAGGACUUAAGAAACAUUUCAGAGGCAGAAAUGCAGGAGCUGGACAUGGUCACUGCAAGGUUUCAGCUCAGAGCCAUUUGCUCAGUGUGCUGAGCGCAGGCGGAGAGCUCGUGGUGCAGGGGACCUGCAGACGACUGGAAUGUGCCACAGGCUGUCAGGGAGCAGAGGUGCCCAUGUCCUUGUGGGAAAUGGCCAGGGGUGCCCGUGCGUGCUCAUUCAGCACAAGUGAGGCAGGCACCUUGGCGAACAGGCUGGACGCCUGGGCAUACGUGUGGCAAAGUUUUAGGCUCACAGGACAGAAAACCUCCAAGCAAGAGUGA
rnacentral:lncRNA from 1 species